rnacentral:rRNA from 1 species
CACGUAGUUAGCCGGUGCUUUUUCUGCAGGUACCGUCACUUUCGCUUCUUCCCUACUAAAAGAGGUUUACAACCCGAAGGCCGUCAUCCCUCACGCGGCGUUGCUGCAUCAGGCUUUCGCCCAUUGUGCAAUAUUCCCCACUGCUGCCUUCCGUAGGAGUCUGGGCCGUGUCUCAGUCCCAGUGUGGCCGGUCACCCUCUCAGGCCGGCUACCCGUCGUCGCCUUGGUGAGCCAUUACCUCACCAACAAGCUGAUAGGCCGUGAGCCGAUCCAUAACCAAAAAAUCUUUCCAAACACAGACCAUGCGAUCGUGUUAGAUAUCCAGUAUUAGCCACCGUUUCCGGAGGUUAUCCCAGAGUUAUGGGCACGUUGCUCACGUGUUACUCACCCGUUCGCCACUAAUCCACCCAGCAAGCUGGGCUUCAUCGUUCGACUUGCAUGUGUUAAGCACGCCGCCAGCGUUCGUCCUGUAGCCAGGAUCAAACUACU